rnacentral:rRNA from 1 species
CCUACGGGGGGCAGCAGUAGGGAAUAUUGCUCAAUGGGGGAAACCCUGAAGCAGCAACGCCGCGUGGAGGAUGAAGGUUUUCGGAUUGUAAACUCCUUUUGUUAGAGAAGAUAAUGACGGUAUCUAACGAAUAAGCACCGGCUAACUCCGUGCCAGCAGCCGCGGUAAUACGGCGGGUGCAGGCGUUACUCGGAAUCACUGGGCGUAAGGAGCGCGUAGGCGGGUUAGCAAGUCAGAUGUGAAAUCCUAUGGCUUAACCAUAGAACUGCAUUUGAAACUGUUAUUCUAGAGUAUGGGAGGGGGAGGGGGAAUUCUGGGUGUAGGGGGAAAAUCCGUAGAGAUCAAGAGGAAUACUCAUGGCGAAGGCGACCUGCUAGAACAUAACGGACGCUGAUGCGCGAAAGCGUGGGGAGCAAACAGGAUUAGAUACCCAGUAGUC